rnacentral:tRNA from 1 species
UGGCUUAGUAGUAAAAGGAUCUGCCUGCAAAGCAGGAGACCCAGGUUCAAAUCCCUGG